UACGUAGGGUCCGAGCGUUGUCCGGAAUUACUGGGCGUAAAGGGCGAGUAGGUGGCCAUCUAAGUCAGACGUGAAAUCCCCCGGCUUAACCUGGGAACUGCGUCUGAUACUGGACGGCGUUGAGUAUGGGAGAGGGAUGUAGAAUUCCAAGGUGUAGCGGUGAAAUGGCGUGAGAUAUCUGGAGGAAUACCGGUGGCGAAGGCGGCAUCCUGGACCAUUACUGAGCACUGAUCCGCGAAAGCUAGGGGAGCAAACGGG
rnacentral:rRNA from 1 species